AUACUUACCUAGCAGGGGAGAUACCAUGAUCAUGAAGGUGGUUUUCUGAGGGUGAAGCUGACCCAUGCACUGGGGACUUGCUGACCCCUGCAAUUUUCCCACAUGGGGAAAACUCAGCUGCACAAUUUGUGUUGGUAGGGGGUAACAUGCAUGCUUGCACCUG
rnacentral:snRNA from 1 species